rnacentral:rRNA from 1 species
CCUGCCUUCAACAGGGGGAUAACACUCCCAACGGGGUGCUAAUACCGCAUGAGACCACGGGGUCGCAUGGCCCUGAGGUCAAAGGUGGCCUCUAUUUAUAAGCUACCGGUUGAAGAUGGCUUCGCGUCCCAUUAGCUAGUUGGCGGUGUAAAAGACCACCAAGGCGACGAUGGGUAGCUGGUCUGAGAGGAUGGUCAGCCACACUGGGACUGAGAUACGGCCCAG